UCUGGUUGAUUCUGCCAGUAGUCAUAUGCUUGUCUCAAAGAUUAAGCCAUGCAUGUCUAAGUAUAAGCAAUUUGUACUGUGAAACUGCGAAUGGCUCAUUAAAUCAGUUAUCGUUUAUUUGAUAGUACCUUACUACAUGGAUACCUGUGGUAAUUCUAGAGCUAAUACAUGCUAAAAACCUCGACUUCGGAAGGGGUGUAUUUAUUAGAUAAAAAACCAACGCCCUUCGGGGCUCCUUGGUGAAUCAUAAUAACUAAGCGAAUCGCAUGGCCUUGCGCCGGCGAUGGUUCAUUCAAAUUUCUGCCCUAUCAACUUUCGAUGGUAAGAUAGUGGCUUACCAUGGUGGCAACGGGUAACGGGGAAUUAGGGUUCGAUUCCGGAGAGGGAGCCUGAGAAACGGCUACCACAUCCAAGGAAGGCAGCAGGCGCGCAAAUUACCCAAUCCCGACACGGGGAGGUAGUGACAAUAAAUACUGAUACGGGGCUCUUUUGGGUCUCGUAAUUGGAAUGAGUACAAUCUAAAUCCCUUAACGAGGAACAAUUGGAGGGCAAGUCUGGUGCCAGCAGCCGCGGUAAUUCCAGCUCCAAUAGCGUAUAUUAAAGUUGUUGCAGUUAAAAAGCUCGUAGUUGAACCUUGGGUCUGGCUGACCGGUCCGCCUCACCGCGAGUACUGGUUCGGCUGGACCUUUCCUUCUGGGGAACCUCAUGGCCUUCACUGGCUGUGGGGGGAACCAGGACUUUUACUGUGAAAAAAUUAGAGUGUUCAAAGCAGGCCUUUGCUCGAAUACAUUAGCAUGGAAUAAUAGAAUAGGACGUGCGGUUCUAUUUUGUUGGUUUCUAGGACCGCCGUAAUGAUUAAUAGGGAUAGUCGGGGGCGUCAGUAUUCAGCUGUCAGAGGUGAAAUUCUUGGAUUUGCUGAAGACUAACUACUGCGAAAGCAUUCGCCAAGGAUGUUUUCAUUAAUCAGGGAACGAAAGUUAGGGGAUCGAAGACGAUCAGAUACCGUCGUAGUCUUAACCAUAAACUAUGCCGACUAGGGAUCGGGC
rnacentral:rRNA from 1 species